CCGCCCACCUCAGCUUCCCAACAUGGCGGCGGUACUGUAGUUUUCCGCCAGCUCUGGGAGCUAUCAUGGGUCUAUGCUUUUAUCCAAGCAGCGUGUAGCCCAGAAACCAUUUUUUGUUUUGUACUAGCAAAGGCUAAAUUCACCAAGUAGCUUAAUGUGCCACUUGCAGAGGCCUCAUUCCCGCCAUACUGCAGGUCGAGCGCGCACGCCAGCAACCCGCCAGUAGCUCAAACCGGCAGCUGCCGCUCAUUUGAGAGAGACAAUUAGGAAGCUGUUUUUAGCUCCGUUUUAGAAUCUUUUUUUUCAGGUUUUAGGUGGAAACUCUUGCCACCACGUUGGACGCCAUUGUCUGUUGCGGGACCCUGGACUGGAGAGGUGGACUGAGCAGAGCUCCAGAGAACACCGCUGGACUGUGAUACACCUUCCCCAGACUCCGCGACCUACCUAUUCCUUAAUUUGAUGAAGAUGGCUGUGUUGGGAUGACAAAUGAAGAGCAAGGGACAGAGAAAACAGAAGACCAGAAUGAUGAGCAGGAUGUAAAUAAAAGCCUGAUUACUAGCCUUG